rnacentral:rRNA from 1 species
CCUACGGGGGGCAGCAGUGGGGAAUAUUGCACAAUGGGCGAAAGCCUGAUGCAGCGACGCCGCGUGAGCGAAGAAGGCCUUCGGGUCGUAAAGCUCUGUCCUAAGGGAAGAAAAGGACGGUACCUUAGGAGGAAGCCCCGGCUAACUACGUGCCAGCAGCCGCGGUAAUACGUAGGGGGCGAGCGUUAUCCGGAAUUACUGGGCGUAAAGGGUGCGUAGGCGGCCUUUUAAGUCAGAUGUGAAAGGCUACGGCUUAACCGUAGUUAGCAUUUGAAACUAGAAGGCUUGAGUGCAGGAGAGGAGAGAGGAAUGCCUGGGGUCGCGGUGAAAUGCGUAGAUAUUAGGGGGAACAGAAGUGGUGAAGGCGACGCUGAGACCUGCAACUGACGCUGAGGCACGAAACGCUGAGGAGUGAACAGGAUUAGAUACCCGGGUAGUC